UAUUGCUGCUUUCCUGUCCAGGAAGUGCAUACUGAAGAACUUGGAACAACUACAAAACACAGGUUCGAUAAGAUGCUAAAACGGAGCCCAGGGUUUGGUACGCAACCCUAUGCCCGUGUACGAAAUGAUGAGCAGCCGGUUUGUCAUAAGGAAGGCGCUCAGACAAGCCCGGCCUCUCCUCCAAAGCAAGUCAUGGCCGCCACCGCUUCUUAUCGCAUUGCCGUUGGGGAGUCGGGCACGCACAGACACGAGCUGGAGGAUGACCCCUGCAUGCGCAGCUCAACGGGAGGAACUGCAGGCACCCGAAUGACCAGCAGGGGGAAGUGAUGAGACCCUGUCAUCCAGAGUGACUAAACGCAGCAAUGCAGUGGUGGCUAAUCCUGUUCCUUGAAAUCUACCGUCAUGUAGGUUUUCGUUUCAACUUUGAUUUGGCACGCCUGACUCUACUCGCUAGCAGCACUGCGCCUUAAGCUUCUUUGCAAUUUCCCACGGGUAAUAAACUUGUCACAAUGUAUUUACUUGGCCCCGCACAUCUAACCCGAACGCCUUCUUUGCCAUAUUUCUUGCAGGUUUAGAGUCUAUUUUACUUACACUACAGGCCAAUGGUAUUAGGCUAGCUGUGGUUUUAAAAAAAACUUAAGGUAGAUAAUAUGUCAGUCAUAAGAUUUAACUACCCCUCCACCUGAUUGGUUAGAGUUCCAAUAAUUUUUUUAAUUGUAAUUAAAGCCAAAGGAGGCUAUUUUGACGAAAGUUUAAGUUAAACUUUCGUCAAAAUAACUAACUUUUUGCGUUGUUGUAGGUAUAAAUUGACAAAAAAAACAAGUUUAUACUUUGGUUUGUCAUUCAAUAAAUGUGGAUAUAUUACCUGAA